rnacentral:rRNA from 1 species
AAAAGGCGGCGUAAGCUGUCGCUAAAGGAUGGACCCGCGGUGCAUUAGCUAGUUGGUAAGGUAACGGCUUACCAAGGCGACGAUGCAUAGCCGAGUUGAGAGACUGAUCGGCCACAUUGGGACUGAGACACGGCCCAAACUCCUACGGGAGGCAGCAGUAGGGAAUCUUCCACAAUGGGCGAAAGCCUGAUGGAGCAACGCCGCGUGAGUGAAGAAGGUUUUCGGAUCGUAAAGCUCUGUUGUUGGUGAAGAAGGAUAGAGGUAGUAACUGGCCCCUAUUUGACGGUAAUCAACCAGAAAGUCACGGCCAACUACGUGCCAGCAGCCGCGGUAAUACGUAGGUGGCAAGCGUUGUCCGGAUUUAUUGGGCGUAAAGCGAGCGCAGGCGGAAAGAUAAGUCUGAUGUGAAAGCCCCCGGCUUAACCGAGGAAUUGCAUCGGAAACUGUGUUUCUUGAGUGCAGAAGAGGAGAGUGGAACUCCAUGUGUAGCGGUGGAAUGCGUAGAUAUAUGGAAGAACACCAGUGGCGAAGGCGGCUCUCUGGUCUGUAACUGACGCUGAGGCUCGAAAGCAUGGGUAGCGAACAGGAUUAGAUACCCUGGUAGUCCAUGCCGUAAACGAUGAGUGCUAAGUGUUGGGAGGUUUCCGCCUCUCA